AUUGAACGCUGGCGGCAUGCUUUACACAUGCAAGUCGAACGGUAACAGGCCUUCGGGUGCUGACGAGUGGCGAACGGGUGAGUAAUGCAUCGGAACGUACCCAGAGGUGGGGGAUAACGCAGCGAAAGCUGUGCUAAUACCGCAUGUGAUCUGAGGAUGAAAGCGGGGGACCGAGCAGCAAUGUUUGGCCUCGCGCCUUUGGAGCGGCCGAUGUCGGACUAGCUAGUUGGUGGGGUAAAGGCCUACCAAGGCGACGAUCCGUAGCUGGUCUGAGAGGACGACCAGCCACACUGGGACUGAGACACGGCCCAGACUCCUACGGGAGGCAGCAGUGGGGAAUUUUGGACAAUGGGCGCAAGCCUGAUCCAGCAAUGCCGCGUGCGGGAAGAAGGCCUUCGGGUUGUAAACCGCUUUUGGCAGGAACGAAACGGUGUCCGCUAAUACCGGGCGCUAAUGACGGUACCUGCAGAAUAAGCACCGGCUAACUACGUG
rnacentral:rRNA from 1 species